rnacentral:rRNA from 1 species
UACGGAGGGUGCAAGCGUUACUCGGAAUUACUGGGCGUAAAGGACGCGUAGGCGGCCUGAUAAGUUAGAUGUGAAAUCCUAUGGCUUAACCAUAGAACUGCAUCUAAAACUAUUAGGCUAGAGUGGGGGAGAGGUCAGUGGAAUUAGUGGUGUAGGGGUAAAAUCCGUAGAGAUCACUAGGAAUACUCAUUGCGAAGGCGACUGACUGGAACUUAACUGACGCUGAGGCGUGAAAGCGUGGGGAGCAAACAGGAUUAGAUACCCUGGUAGUCCACGCCCUAAACGAUGUACACUAGUUGUUGCCAUGCUAGUCAUGGCAGUAAUGCAGCUAACGCAUUAAGUGUACCGCCUGGGGAGUACGGUCGCAAGAUUAAAACUCAAAGGAAUAGACGGGGACCCGCACAAGCGGUGGAGCAUGUGGUUUAAUUCGACGAUACGCGAAGAACCUUAUCUGGACUUGACAUCCUAUAAAUGAUUUAGAGAUAGAUUAGUGCUAGUUUACUAGAAUAUAGUGACAGGUGCUGCACGGCUGUCGUCAGCUCGUGUCGUGAGAUGUUGGGUUAAGUCCCGCAACGAGCGCAACCCUCGUCGUUAGUUGCUAACAGUUCGGCUGAGCACUCUAACGAGACUGCCUUCGUAAGGAGGAGGAAGGUGAGGACGACGUCAAGUCAUCAUGGCCCUUAUGUCCAGGGCUACACACGUGCUACAAUGGCCAGGACAAUGAGACGCAAUACCGCGAGGUGGAGCAAAUCUAUAAACCUGGUCUCAGUUCGGAUAGCACUCUGCAACUCGAGUGCUUGAAGCUGGAAUCGCUAGUAAUCGUAGAUCAGCAAUGCUACGGUGAAUACGUUCCCGGGUCU